UUAUACCUCACAGUUUUCAGUCAAUAAGAUCUGCACAUUUAUAUAAAAAUAUAAAAUAUGUAACAGUUAUGAGCUAGUGACAUAAGGCAGAAAUAUGCCCACGGCACUGCGCAAUAUAGUUAGAUAUUCAGUAUAAAUAAUAUAAUUUGAAGAAAACAGCAGUAGAACUGUACAAGAGGUUACUAAGGGUGUUAGAAUUACCCCGGCUGCGGAGGUUGUAUGAGUGGCUAAUGGUUGGAGGGUUGGAGGAAGAGGUGUGAGAGAUUGCCGUGGUGACGCCUGACCUAGGGUUCAGGCGCAGCAAUGGAGUUGAGAACAGUAGGGAGGCAAGACUCAAUCUCUUUCUUUGAUUAAUCUUUCUUGAUUACAAACUAAAGGCAUAGAGGGCUUAUAUAUUGCCCUGGCCUAACAAGACUUCCUCCUUUUAAGGGGAUCUAAACAAACUACCUUUAUUUAAGGAAAAUCUAAACAACUCUAGCUAUCUUAUCUGAGUACUUAUCUGCUUAGUCUAGCUUAUCUUCCCCUGGCUGCUUAGGCCGGCGCCCAUAUACUUUUCCAGUCAUAACAUCUCUCCCUCCCUCGACGAACAGCUCGUCCUCGAGCUGAAAUUGUGGGUAGGAAGUUUUGAAUUGCUGCAGGGGCUCCCAUGUGGCCUGCUCUAGCUGCUCUGCAUUCCACUGAACCAGGAUGGACCAUUUACCACGCUGAAGUCGAGCUUUGAGAACUUUUUGUGGUGUGGGCAGAAGCCUGACGUUUUCUAGUACUGGCAGAGCUGGUGGUAGAACAGGAGGUGAUCCUCUGAAAGGUUUGAGUAGUCCUACGUGGAAAACAUCAUGGAUGCGGGCUCCUUUAGGCAAUUCCAGACGGUAUGCCACUGAGCCGAUGCGUUCCAGAACUUGGAAGGGCCCUGCAUACCUUGGUCCCAGCUUCCCUUUUGGUCGGCUGACCAGUGAUUGUGCCUGUCGGUGUAACAGGCGUAGCCAAACCCAGUCGCCCACCUUGAACUCCAGAUCUCGGUGAUGGCCAUCACAAAACCGCCUAGCAUGUUCCUGGGCCUGUAGGAGUCUGUCUCUGACUUCCGCGAGAAAGCAGUCCCGUUCGCGAAACAUUUCUUCUAUAGUUGGUGUAGCUGCUGCUCCUUGCUGGUAUGGGAUGAGUGGAGGGGGGUCUCUGCCAUAGACCACUUUAAACGGGGUUGUCUUCAGGGCUGAGUGAUAAGAGGUAUUAUAGCAAUAUUCAACCCAAGCAAUCCAGUCAACCCAGGCCCUCGAACGAUCCCCUGUGAUGCAGCGCAGGUACAUGGCGAUAGUUUUAUUGACCACUUCGGAUUGCCCAUCAGUCUGUGGAUGAAAGGCUGUGCUCAUCCUUAGUUUGACGCCGGCUAGCUUGAAAAGGUCCCUCCAAAUGUGUCCCGUGAACACUGGGUCUCGGUCACUGACUAUAGAGCUUGGGAACCCAUGCAGUCGGACAAUCUCAUCAAAGAAUGCCCUUGCUACUGUGGCUGCUGUGUAUGGAUGACUCAAUGGAAUGAAGUGGGCAUAUUUGGAGAAUCGAUCGACGACUGUAAGAAUGACUGAUUUGCCAUAUACCUUUGGUAGGGCUUCGAUGAAAUCCAUUGAGAUGUCUGACCAAAUCUGAGCUGGUACCUCCAAGGGUUGCAAUAGUCCUGCUGGAUGGAGUGUUUCUGUUUUGUUUUGCUGGCAAACUGCACAAGAACGAACCCAAUCUCUAACCAGUGCCCUGUCCCUGUGAACAAAGAAAUCUGUCCUCAACCUUUGCAGGGUUUUCUGGAUGCCGCCGUGGCCUGCGGAGUGGGCUGUGUGCAGGAUAGCAGGAAGUAUGCUGGAGGAUUGUGGUACAAAAAUCUGAUUGCCAUGCAUUAUGAGUCCCUCUCUGAUCUGCCAUGGCGCACCCUGCUGCCCUGUGCUGAUCUGAUUGUGCAGGAGCUGAAACUCUUGGUUGCUUGCACAGUCUUGUUGGAGGUCUUUGUAGAGUUGAAAGGUUGGUGUUGAGAUCGUAUAGACCGAUCCACUGGUGGUUUCCCUGCGCGAAAGAGCGUCUGCUACUGUAUUUAGUCGACCAACCCUAUAUUCCACCUUGAAGUCGAAACCAAAUAGCUUACUAAUCCACUGAUGCUGAGGUACAGUUGAGAGCCGUUGAUCGAGCAUAUACUUGAGGCUGAAAUGGUUUGUACGUACCACAAAUUUUCUGCCCCACAAGUAUGGACGCCAAUGGCGUACUGCCUGUACCAGUCCAAUGAGUUCUCUCUCAUAUGCAGCGAGCUUGACAUGUCGGGCUGCAAAGGGGCGGCUGAAGAAGGCAAUUGGUCCCUCAUCUUGAUGCAGUACAGCGCCAAAACCUGAGCCGGACGCAUCACAGUCAACAAUGAAUGAGUUGGCAAAAUUUGGGAGUUGCAAGACAGGGGCUGUAGAGAGAGCUCUUUUCAGUGCCUCAAAUGCUUUGUCUGCCUCCGGACUCCACUGGAAACCCUCUUUUUUUAGGAGUUUUGUUAGUGGUGUAGCUAUUACUCCAAAACCCUUGAUAAACUUGCGAUAGUAGCCUGCCAACCCCAGAAAUCCUCGCAGUCCUCGUGGUGCCUGUGGCUGUGGCCAGGAAGUGACAGCCUCCACCUUGGCACUAUCCAUGGCGACUCCCUCUGCAGAAAUCACAUGUCCCAGAUAGGUGACGGUUGUGGUUCCAAAGGAACACUUAGACUGCUUGGCGAACAGCUUGUUGGCUUUCAAGGACUCCAAAACCGCCUUGACAUGUAUUAGGUGGUCAGACCAUGAUGCACUGUAAAUGAGAAUGUCAUCAAAAAAUACAAGCACAAAUCGCCGAAGGAACUGUCCCAACACUUCAUUCAUGAGGGCCUGGAAUGUUGCCGGGGCAUUGGAGAGACCAAAUGGCAUGACCAAGAAUUCAAAAUGACCAUGAUGUGUUCGGAAGGCUGUUUUGUGCACAUCAUCGGGGUGAACACGGACCUGGUGAUAACCUGAACGCAGAUCCAAUUUGGUGAAGAAUCUUGCACCCUGAAGUUCGUCCAACAAUUCAUCCACUACAGGUAUAGGAUAUUUAUCCUUUACUGUCUUCUCAUUCAAGGCUCUGUAGUCAAUGCAAAAGCGCCAAGAAUUGUCACUUUUCUUUACUAACAAUACUGGGGCUGAGAAAGCCGAUGUGCUGUGACGGAUGAUGCCUUGUUGGAGCAUGGCCUUACACUGGGCUUCAAGUUCAUCUUUCUGGAGCUGUGCAUAUCUGUAAGGUCGUACUGCUACUGGUGCUGUUCCUGGGAGGAGAUGAAUCCGGUGAUCGCAGCACCUAGCUGGGGGAAGGCCACUAGGUGUCUCAAACACUUCCUGAAGCUGCUGUAGCAGACAUUCCAUCAUAGGUUUGGGCUCUGCCUUGAGUGACCGGACUGCAGGUCUCAUGGAAAUGUCCCAACGCUGCGAACCCAAUCCCUUCCAGAGAAUACGCUGUCCUCUCCUCCAGAAUGCCAUACACAGAUCUUCAAGAUCCCAAAGGAUGGGUCCCAAAGUGCGCAGAAAUGUGAUACCCAAUAUAAUGUCAAAGGAAUCUAGAGGAAUGGCAUAUGCGUCCAUCAAGAACUCUUCACCGGCAAUGGACAUACCAAUACUGUUAGCAAUCUGUCGGCAGUGAAUCUUGUCGCCAUUUGCUACUGUGGCCUGGAAACCUUGGUUGGAACUGUAGGCUAGCUGCAGCCCAUCUGCAGUUUUGAGGCUGACAAAAUUGUGGGUAGAGCCCGUGUCAAGAAGAGCUGUGAGGGUGUAUCCCCGAAUGUCGACUUGCAGUUGCAUGGUGCCCUCUGAGCGGAUGCCUGUUAAGGCGUGGAGUGAAAUAAUGGGUGCUGGAUCCUCUGGAUUGGAUUCAUCCUCGAUUCCUGUAUCCUCUUCAAAAUCUGUGACCUCCAGAUAGAAUAGACGCGGGCACCGAUGACCACAAACGUAUUGUUCGUCACAGUUGUAACACAGUCCCUGUUUGCGGCGCUCAGCCAUCUCGUCGGGGGUGAGCUUCUUAAAUGGACGUUGUGCCCCCGUGCUGGUUGGUGCUGCUACUGUUAUAGUGGACUGUUGUGCUGGAAUAGGAAAUGAUGGCCGCUGGGGAGGCCUCGACGGCUUGCUGGUAGUUGAUGUAUGGUGGACGUCGAGUGCCUGAGCCCUUCGUUCAUAUGCUCUUGCUAAACUUAAUGCAUGAUUGAGAUCCCGAGGAGCCAUAAGUUCGACAUCGAUCUUGAUACGCUCUGGAAGACCUGCCGUGAAGAGUUGUACCUUCUGUUCCGGAGUGAGUGGCGUGGUGUGGGCCAGUAAAUCCCAGAACCUCUCCUGAUAAUCCUCCACUGUUGUCCGGAAUGGAAGCCUUGCCAAUUCCCCGAGUGGGUUGCUGCGAAGCGGUGGUCCAAAUCGGAGUUGGCAUAGCUGCUUGAAACGCCCCCAUGACAGGGGUGGUUCAUCACGCAAGAGCUGGUUGUACCAAGUCCGUGCAGCACCGAGCAUGUGAUAUGAAGCCAACCAGACUUUCUCCUCUUCCAACGUGCGCUGUCCCUCGAAGAAUUGUUCACAUCGAGUCAACCAGUGCAUUGGAUCUUCCUUGCCAUCAAAGGUUGCAAACUCCAAGCGGUGGAAGCGAGGAACAGCAGCAGAUGGUGGUGGAGAGAAAGCACUGGGUAAUGGUGUGAGGUAGUGGGGGAAAGGAUGGAAUGGGAGACGGUGAAUGUGGUAAUGGCAGCAGGUGCGGUGGAAGUGAGGUGGUGGUGUGUACUGGUGCAGAUAUGGUGGUGGGUGGUGGUGGAAGUUGGCCAUCGGCCGCUGUCAUAGUCGGUGGCAGUCCACCAUAUCCAGGCAUGCCGUAGGGGCAGUCUGGUGGCGGCGCCAUGGCCGAUGUUCCUGGUGUGGAUUCCACCGCGGCAAUGCGGGAGGACAUGGAGGCCAUCUGCGUGGCGAAGAGCCCCAGUUGGCGCUGGACUUCAGCAAGGGCGGUGGUGAUUGCUGCCAACUCCGACGGCUGGGCUGAAGCUGCAGUUUCAGCUUCAGCAGAUCCUGGCAUAUCUGAUACCAGGUUGUUAGAAUUACCCCGGCUGCGGAGGUUGUAUGAGUGGCUAAUGGUUGGAGGGUUGGAGGAAGAGGUGUGAGAGAUUGCCGUGGUGACGCCUGACCUAGGGUUCAGGCGCAGCAAUGGAGUUGAGAACAGUAGGGAGGCAAGACUCAAUCUCUUUCUUUGAUUAAUCUUUCCUGAUUACAAACUAAAGGCAUAGAGGGCUUAUAUAUUGCCCUGGCCUAACAAGACUUCCUCCUUUUAAGGGGAUCUAAACAAACUACCUUUAUUUAAGGAAAAUCUAAACAACUCUAGCUAUCUUAUCUGAGUACUUAUCUGCUUAGUCUAGCUUAUCUUCCCCUGGCUGCUUAGGCCGGCGCCCAUAUACUUUUCCAGUCAUAACAAAGGGUGUGUUUGGUAUGGCUCCAAAG
rnacentral:lncRNA from 1 species